rnacentral:rRNA from 1 species
GACGAACGCUGGCGGCGUGCUUAACACAUGCAAGUCGAACGGAAAGGCCCUGCUUUUGUUGGGUGCUCGAGUGGCGAACGGGUGAGUAACACGUGAGUAACCUGCCCUUGACUUUGGGAUAACUUCAGGAAACUGGGGCUAAUACCGGAUAGGAGCUCCUGCUGCAUGGGGUGGGUUGGAAAGUUUCGGCGGUUGUGGAUGGACUCGCGGCUUAUCAGCUUGUUGGUGUGGUAGUGGCUUACCAAGGCUUUGACGGGUAGCCGGCCUGAGAGGGUGACCGGGCACCUUGGGACUGAGAUACGGCGCAGACUCCUACGGGAGGCAGCAGUGGGGAAUAUUGCACAAUGGGCGGAAGCGUGAUGCAGCAACGCCGCGUGCGGGAUGACGGCCUUCGGGUUGUAAACCGCUUUCGCAUGUGACGAAGCGUGAGUGACGGUAAUGGGUAAAGAAGCAACGGCUAACUACGUG